rnacentral:rRNA from 1 species
UACCAGCACCCCCGAGUGGUCGGGACGAUUAUUGGGCCUAAAGCAUCCGUAGCCGGUACUGCAAGUCUUCCGUUAAAUCCACCUGCUCAACAGUUGGGGCUGCGGAGGAUACUACAGCGCUAGGAGGCGGGAGAGGCAAGCGGUACUCAUUGGGUAGGGGUAAAAUCCACUGAUCCAUUGAAGAACACCGGUGGCGAAGCGGCCUGCUGGGCAGUAGCUGACGCUGAAGCGCGACAGCGUGGGGAGCAAACAGG